rnacentral:rRNA from 1 species
CAGCCGCCGCGGUAAUACGUAGGUGGCAAGCGUUGUCCGGAAUUAUUGGGCGCAAAGGGCUCGCAGGCGGUUUCUUAAGUCUGAUGUGAAAGCCCCCGGCUCAACCGGGGAGGGUCAUUGGAAACUGGGAAACUUGAGUGCAGAAGAGGAGAGUGGAAUUCCACGUGUAGCGGUGAAAUGCGUAGAGAUGUGGAGGAACACCAGCGGCGAAGGCGACUCUCUGGUCUGCAACUGACGCUGAGGAGCGAAAGCGUGGGGAGCGAACAGGAUUAGAGACCCCUGUAGUCCCUGUCUCUUAUAC